GCUUAGAGUUGUAGCCUUAGUAUAUCAGGGAAUAUCUUGGUAAGAAAAGGAUAUUGGAUUGGAUUGUUUCCCAUAUGUUCUCCGAUGACUAGCCUCAAGCCAGAACAGUUGGGCAGAGCUGAAAUGUUCAAUCUUUGUUUGCAAAACAUUUAUGGUACCAACCAAAAGCUCCACAAAUUUGUUACUAGCAGCUACAACUGCAUAAAUCCAGUACUUUUUUUUAUCGGAAAUGUUAGUUGCUAGUAGUUGUUAGCAUAAAUCUGGUACUUAUCAGUUGAAACCUUGUCAGCUGAUGUUUCUGCAUGUAUUGAGCCACUUGUUUUGGUAUCCCAUGAGCCUACAUCUUGCUCUCUUUCUGAUCGAGGAUCCUAAAGUUCAGUAUAUAGUUACCAUUUAGUUCAAAACAUGUAUUAAUAGACAAACAAAUGCAUACACAUAUUAGGGAGGACAAUUUUUGACAGACAAUUUACAUAGAUAGAAAGUCAUCCACAUGGAAUUUUUUUUCCUGGCAAUAAUUAUGCCAAUUAACCCAUUGUUUGAGUUCCCGUUUUAUCCAUCACCAAUUGUCAAAAAAAAGCAUGUUUUUCCUUUCUCCGUAUGAGAACUUAUCUAGAAUUACAUUUCAUUGAUUCAUACAACACAUGAUGCACCAUUUUCUGGCACUGGCAAAUAGUAAUCAAGUUACAUAACAAUGGUAGUAUUUUAUCAGACUGUACAUAGGUUCAGUAAUAGACUAAUUAACUCAAUAACUUGAUGAAUGUAUUUCUUUAUGGCUGUUUAAUGAGUAGCCAAGUAUANCCAUAUCAAUGUAUGUACAGUACACCUUUCAUGCUACGAUUUUAUAAUUUAUGCUGAAUAUAUUACCAUACGCAAAAUUGAAAUUUCCAAAUAAAGAGGUAGUGAAUUUUUCUUUUUUAUGUGUUCUCCCUCUGGUUGCAGGUUUUGAAACUAGGUGAUUGUGGUUGGAAAGGCAACUCCUAACAGCUAACCACAUGGUCCAACCAGCUUUUCUAACAGUGCUCUAUAUCCCAUUACAAGUUUCCUCCCGGUUAAAUUUAUUGAUUGUUUAUCCAUAGUAGCUUAUUGUACUUCAAAAGUAACAUUAGUAUCUUUAAAUGAGUUCCUCCGUUAAGUCCUUGUUUGCAAGAGAGAAAACUAAGAAAAAAAUAAAUUAAUUUACACAUAAGUUAAAAAUAGAAAUUUAGAAAAGUUAUAUAAAAGAACCUCUACAAAUUAUCUUAUGCACAAGUUCAUUUUAUCUUACAAGUUCCUCUUAUUUUUUCUCUCCUAGAAGGAGCUUACCAACCAAACUAGUCCAUGUAGGCCCUAAAUGGGGUUGGGCAUAUGCAUUGAGUGCCAUUUUAGAGUUCCCUUCUUUGUGUGUAAAUGGGAAAACAAGCCAGUCCUAGAUCAUUGAACAGAUCCGAUCAUAAAAUAAAUGCAGAGCAAAGCUUUGAUGACCCAUGGAUUAAGUACUUUCAACUUUCAAGUACUUCAUUAUAUAUAUACAUAUUGUAAUGAGAUCAUGAGAAUAAGAAAGUAAAAUUCAAGGGCAUACCUCGAGAGCAAGCUUCUCUUGUCAUCAUCAAGAACAAACGUCUACUGAUAUUGAUAAGCAAGCACAAACCUCUACUGUUAUUGAUAAACACUACCAACAAAAGUUAGCAUCUCUAUCUACAGUAAUUGAGUGUAUCAUCACAACAUAUGGAUGUAUACUUUCUGUUAUACUUUUACCAACAAGAAGAUGAUGAACAACAAUCUAUUUUCUAGGCAAGCAAGGUAGAUUAAAAUUAAAGACAGUAAAAUUUCCAAUGAACAUAGGAUAAGGAUGCUGUAAUAUCAUAACUGAGCAUCACAUUUCUUGAUAACAAUGUCUGAUAUAAGUAACUUUCCACAAUCAUUGGUUUCAAAAUAGAUUCUAAGCUCGCUUCAGAAGCAUAGAAAAUAAUGCGUCUGCAGAAAAUGAGAAAGGGAAUAAUUGGUNGAAUCUCAAAGGCAUAAACAAAACCUAAACUGAAAAAUCUAAUUGAAUUGCAGAAUACAACAAUUACAGUUACAGAGUUUACACUCCUCACAGGCUUACGCUGCAGCGGUGGUGAAGACUUCAAGUUCGGAUGUGUUAGGAAUGGAAGAAAAGCUGAGCAUAUUAUUCAAAUUGACCUUAUGCUUCUUCAAUUUCAUUGUAUGGGGAUUUCUCAUAAUGUCAGCAGAGAGAAAAAAAAAAAGAAUUUUUAAACAACUUUCUU
rnacentral:lncRNA from 1 species